CAUGGCCCGGUAAUUGUGACUCGAGCCGUCGGAAGCAACGAGAUCGUUAAGGCUAACGAUCUGCGGAGGGGUCUGCUCCGAUCCUCCUCCGGGAUGGGGAAGGAACAGAGCUUUGUCAGUGAGGUCAUCGAGGCCCACGAGUGCCAGUAGCUCUGUCACGGAAGGACACCCCGAAAACCCUUCCAAGGGUCUGCGGCUGUGAAGCGAGGACGCGGAGGUGUGGUGUUGCCAGUCGCAGUUCUGGCAUAGCAAAUAAAUUUUCAAAAACAGUUUUUAUUUUAUUUAUAAAUAAGCAUAUGAUAUAUACCUUAGGGAGAGGAGGAACAUCCAUGGCCCGGUAAUUGUGACUCGAGCCGUCGGAAGCAACGAGAUCGUUAAGGCUAACGAUCUGCGGAGGGGUCUGCUCCGAUCCUCCUCCGGGAUGAGGAAGGAACAGAGCUUUGUCAGUGAGGUCAUCGAGGCCCACGAGUGCCAGUAGCUCUGUCACCGAAGGACACCCCGAAAACCCUUCCAAGGGUCUGCGGCUGUGAAGCGAGGAGGCGGAGGUGUGGUGUUGCCAGUCGCAGUUCUGGCAUAGCACUGAGCUUUCUGUGUCGCAGAACACGGAAGAGGGAGAGUCGUCGCAGGAGUCGCAGAGGAGUGACCUGAAGUGUUUCGAGAAGAGCUGGUUCGUUACGUGGACUUGAUUGUCGC
rnacentral:lncRNA from 1 species